rnacentral:tRNA from 2 species
GCGCCCGUAGCUCAGCUGGAUAGAGUACUUGACUACGAAUCAAGGGGUCAGAGGUUCGAAUCCUCUCGGGCGCGCCA